UAAAGUUACGGUAUGAAAACA
rnacentral:piRNA from 1 species